ensembl:lncRNA
GCUGUAUUGAGGGAUCCUAAAGAUGGCAUCUCAGGUAAGCAGCACUGGGCUGUAUUGACGUAUCCUAAAGAUGGCAUCUCAUCAGGUAAGCAGCACUGGGCUGUAUUUAGUGAUCCUAAAGAUGGCAUCUCAGGUAAGCAGCACUGGGCUGUAUUGAGUGAUCCUAAAGAUGGCAUCUCAGGUAAGCAGCACUGGGCUGUAUUGAGUGAUCCUAAAGAUGGCAUCUCAGGUAAGCAGCACUGGGCUGUAUUGAGUGAUCCUAAAGAUAGCAUCUCAGGUAAGUAGCACUGGGCUGUAUUGAGUGAUCCUAAAGAUGGCAUCUCAUCAGGUAAGCAGCACUGGGCUGUAUUGACGUAUCCUAAAGAUGGCAUCUCAUCAGGUAAGCAGCACUGGGCUGUAUUGACGUAUCCUAAAGAUGGCAUCUCA